UACGAAGGGGGGCUAGCGUUGCUCGGAAUCACUGGGCGUAAAGGGUGCGUAGGCGGGUCUUUAAGUCAGGGGUGAAAUCCUGGAGCUCAACUCCAGAACUGCCUUUGAUACUGAGGAUCUUGAGUUCGGGAGAGGUGAGUGGAACUGCGAGUGUAGAGGUGAAAUUCGUAGAUAUUCGCAAGAACGCCAGUGGCGAAGGCGGCUCACUGGCCCGAUACUGACGCUGAGGCACGAAAGCGUGGGGAGCAAACAGG
rnacentral:rRNA from 1 species